UUACAAAUGCACUCCCCUUCCGUUUCUCGUUGCAUGGGGCUCAUGCAACCACACCCUGCCAGGAUCUGCGCCUGUGCUAGCAAAGCCAUUCCUGCGCCGUGAUGGCCGGACACCCACAGUGGGUACGUCCAGGGGCUGCCGGGGCUGAGCAAGAGGUAUCCCGCACUGGCUGCAAAGACCACAACAGGAAUGUCACCGCUGCCUUCCAGAGGAGCAGAGCUGGACGAGCAUGUAAUGUCUCCAAAAUCCAAGGUCAAAUGUAUAAAUUUACCAUAUCUAACACCUCCCUGAAAUCCAAACAGACUCAAUUACAUUCUCUCCCAUUCUCUUAAUGAAUCAGUAAUUAUAUUGAAGAACACUA